AGUGAACGCUGGCGGUAUGCCUAACACAUGCAAGUCGAACGGCAGCACAGUAAGAGCUUGUUCUUACGGGUGGCGAGUGGCGGACGGGUGAGGAAUACAUCGGAAUCUACUUUUUCGUGGGGGAUAACGUAGGGAAACUUACGCUAAUACCGCAUACGACCUACGGGUGAAAGCAAGGGAUCUUCGGACCUUGCGCGAUUGAAUGAGCCGAUGUCGGAUUAGCUAGUUGGCGGGGUAAAGGCCCACCAAGGCGACGAUCCGUAGCUGGUCUGAGAGGAUGAUCAGCCACACUGGAACUGAGACACGGUCCAGACUCCUACGGGAGGCAGCAGUGGGGAAUAUUGGACAAUGGGCGAAAGCCUGAUCCAGCCAUACCGCGUGGGUGAAGAAGGCCUUCGGGUUGUAAAGUGCUUUUGUUCGGAAAGAAAAGCAGCAGGUUAAUACCCGGCUGAUCUGACGGUACCCAAAGAAUAAGCACCGGCUAACUUCGUG
rnacentral:rRNA from 1 species